CUUCCCUUUCCCCGGGGGGCCUAUCUGGGUGAGUUCCGGAGUUUGUGACUCCAAAUUUCCACCAAAUCACGAGCGACCUCCCCUAACAUUGAGGCCGACCCGCACUGCGCCCGCCUAAUCCACGACUGCCUUCUCGGGAGUGCGCGGGCUCGCGGAGCAGGCGAGGUCCCGUAUCCACGGGCACGUGCCCGGGCGCGCGUCCCGCGGAGCUCGUUCCCAGCUUCACCUCCCAGCUCUGGUCCCAGUAGCUCGCCGCGCGCCGCCGGCUUCCCCUCACCUCCCAGCCGAGCGGCCUCUAGACCCCGCGCCGUUGGAGCGACCUGGGCGAAGCCAGGCGCUCGGUCCGCCCGAGGGGAAAGGGGAGAAGGACUGGGCGGUCCUGUGCGCCCGGGUAGGCGGAGUGGCAGAAUCACCUGAGACCACCAGACAGCUAGCUGCUUCCCACUCCUGCUCGAGCUUCUCACCCGGACUAGUGGUCCAGGCCCGGGAACCCGCGUCACACCGGAGAGGACUGAUCACAGCGAGCUAGUGGACAUGGCAACACCAUUUCUACCCGCGGGGGCCACCACGGGCGACAGCGGUGGGGAACUGAGCUCCGGGGACGACUCCGGUGACUUGGAAUCCUUCCAGACCCCUGAGGCCGAGGCGACCCGGAGCCUGGCGGAGCUGUUUGAGAAGGCUGCCGCACAUGUUCAAGGCCUGGUUCAGGUGGCCAGCAGGGAGCAGCUCCUGUACCUGUAUGCCAGGUACAAGCAGGUCAAAGUUGGAAAUUGCAAUAUUCCUAAACCAAACUUCUUUGAUUUUGAAGGAAAGCAAAAAUGGGAGGCAUGGAAAGCCCUCGGCGACUCAAGCCCUAGCCAAGCAAUGCAGGAAUAUAUCGCGGCAGUUAAAAAACUAGAUCCAGGAUGGAAUCCUCAGAUCUCCCUCAUUUCAUACAGAGCCUGUUAAACAACUCACAUCAUUGCUAUUCUAAGUCAUGCCUUUGCAGUCAAGCAUUUGAAAGUUGCAGGCUCUGACGGUGCGUAGCCUGAACGGAGACAGCCUGUGAGGCCUCGGUCAGUGGAGCAGCUCUGUCAGCAGAACUUGUGUUUGUCUCUCUUCUUUGAGGAUUCAUUUUCUUUCCUCCUCAUCAUUCAUAUACUGGGAUUUUACAUCCCAAGAAUUACUCAUUUUGGAAGCUUUGCCUCAGGUUCUGCUCCCUAGGGAAUCCUGGGAAGAAGCUAAUGGCUAACUUCUGAAACCAAAUAACAAUGUCUGCAGGUUCCAGAAGGGAUGUAGAUGUGGAUACAUUGCUAAAACAUUAUAGCAGUCAACAGGGAAUGGUUAAACAACAGCAUAUUGUUCAGAGGAAUACUCGGUGAGAAGUGGUACAGGAGGUUGACUGCAUGGAAAUGUUGAGACAGAAGUCAGCAUAUUUAAUCUGCUGUCAUCUUGGAAAUUAAAUCUUUGAAAUGUGUUCACAAAUGCACACUGGCAGGUAUUAGAGGAAUGAUGUGGAACCGAGAGAAGGAUGAAAGGAACUUUUGUUUUACUUUUACCACAGACUUGUUGUAGAUUAAUUUUUUCACAAUGAAACAAUGGAAAGUGAUUUAUUUAACUGCUAGAGACAGUGUGAUACUUAUUUAAAAUGAAGAACAAAUGUUUAAGAAACAGAAACCAUACUAGAGUACUUAUACUUGAUCUUAGCGAAAGGCUGAGAGCCAGGCUGCUAAGGCACAUGGUUUUCCAGUUUUUAAAGUGUGUGUGUGUGUGUGUGUGUGUGUGUGUGUGUGUGUGUGUGUGGUUUCUGUGUCUGUGUGUAAAUGUCUGUGUGUAAAAUAGCCAGAUUGCAUUGUCUUUGGUGGGUGAAAAUAUUUUUUUUUCACAAAAUGGAAAUAGUUUUUAUUUUUGUCUGAUUUUUACUUUUUAUAUGUGUCAGGAAUUGAACUUGAGGCCUUGCUCAUCCUGAGCAUAAACUGUACCACUGGGACAUAACUCACCCCUCCCCCCACUCUAUCACACACUUUUUAAAGAAAAGUAGGCAAUAGGACUGUUUGGUGAAAAUAAGAGUUCUUUUUAUGUUCCAAUUUUGAAAUUUUUCAAAUUCACAUGCACACAGAGCUGGGAUUUUAUUUGAUUUUUCUCCAUACAUGUGAUUUCUGAUGCUUGCAUGCUGUUCUGUCGUUUGGGCAAGCCCUGACUGCGUUCUCUGUAUAUUCAGCUGCUUCCUCAUUCUCCCUUCCCUCUCUUUGCUCUUUCCCACUGUAUAUGCUGCAGCAAACAUCUUUCCACUUAUAUUUUUGCACACUUAUCUAAUUAUUUCUUCAGAUGAAUUCCUAGCAGUCAGUGGCCAAAUUUUAUAGUUUUGGUUAUUGAUUGAUGACGUAGACUCAUCAAGUAAUGCAUUAUUUGUCUAGGAAGAAAUACAGGCUCAUGUUUUCUAUUAGUCACUUGUGACUUUUCAUUAGUGGUUAAUAAUUAUCGACUGCUCACAAUGGGUACUGAGAACACUGUGAACAUGACACCGGAGUACUAGGUCGGACUUUGCUCUGCUCAGAUCUGAGCAGACUGGGGCAGAGGUGACUCAUAGCUAAGGAUGAAAACACUAUGAGAGAGAAUAGUCCUUUAUAGGAUUUAGAAGGGAAAGGACAAAAUUUAGUUUUAAAACUGUAGCAUUUCUCUUCGUUUGCAUAAUAUUUUUUCUGCUUGCAUUAUAGUUGACUAUUUACAUGUCUCUCGUCUCCUUUAGACUUUAAGCUCCACAAGAAAACGUAUCUGCCCGGGUUAUGACUAUGUUCCCAGUGAGCAGGCAGCAAGCAUCUGUGGAGUUAUUUACUAAAUGGGCAAGUGCAUGCACACAACGAGCUAUGCAUCUGUUUCCAGUGUCGUUUGUGGAAGCAUGGCUACCAAGCUUUCGGGCAUAUGUUAUGAUGUUGCUAAAAAUAGUCUUCAACUGCAUAAAGAAAGGGACCCCACAUUCUUUAUUUAAUUAAAUUGCAUCAUUUCGUAUGUUCAUACCAUUUCAUAAAGCAAGAAGGUAAACCAUCACUCUGCUUCCACAUUAUGCAGCCUAAUUAUAAACCCAGGGUCAGACCUCUGUACUGGGAGGCAGCCGUUCAAUAAAUCAGUAUUACAAAUGAUACGCCCCAAAGGAGUAUUUACUGGUUACUUUAGCCAACUUAUAAAUGAGUAGCUUAAGACCACAAGUAAUUAGAUGGGGUCAGGAGUAAAGAAUACCUAUAAAAUAGAUGGCAAGUUUUUCCUAUUCUUUGAGGCUUGUUACUUCCUUUAUGCUGAUUUGUGUUCUAAAUUAUUGUUGAUAUGAGGGUUCCAAUUUUUGCUCUUUCCUAGUAAAACGUAAAUAAUUUUGAUUACAAGCACUAAGGAACAAAUGACUCAUUGAGGAGCAGAAAGCUCUCUGCGCCAGUAAGGAGUUAUCUUUAUGUUUCAAUGCACAUAAUGCAGUCAAUGAGACUCUAAUCAUGCUCUUACUUGUGUCAGCUUCUUACCAUUCAUUUCGUGUGUGCGCGUACACAUGCUCAUGUUCACAAAUGCACAUGUGGAGGUCAGAGGUCAGCUUCUGAGUGUUCUCUCACUCCACAGUGGGGGUUUGGGGGUUGAACUCAAUUUUCAGGCUUGGUAGCAACUACUGAGGAACCUUGCUGGACCUGACAAACUAUUAAUUGGAGGUAAGUUUUAUGCAGACUUAUUAUUGUUUUCAUAAUAAAGUUUUAAACAUUUUAAUAUUCUAGUAAUAUGUUCUUAAUUUCUUUUUUUAACAAGUCAAGAGUACUUACAGGUGUUGACACACUUUUAAGCUCUUAUUGAACAAACUGCCAGAUUACUUAUCAAAUAUUUUAAAUACCUAUCAAAUGUUUUUAUGUGAUUAUAAGUAAUUCCAAGACAUCCCACUCAAACACACUGUAUAUUCCAGUUUCAUGUUCCUGUGUUUACUGCUUUGAAAUUGAAUGUAAUUAGAAUAAACACAAUUCUGGUAUUUUGAAUCAUACCUUCAUCUUUAAAUUUUUGUCUUAACUAAACACACACCAUUUUUUCUAGAAACCCCACUGCUAAAGUCGGAAUCUGACAUUACCGGAUAUCCCUAAGUUCAUGCCAGACUCCCUUUGUCAAAGGCUUUCUCUACCUGGGAGAUCCGGGACCCUACACCCACUACCUGAGGAAUGUCAUGUACUCGUUAGGGAAAUUACAGCUCCAACUCCCUUUCCCCCAAUAAGAAACCUGGUCAUCCAGACCUGAGAUUCCUGCAGUGCCUCCCCAUGCUAAUGGGGUAUCUCAGUGCCUUAGCCUUCAGCCAAUGACCUUUGCCCUGGGUAUCCCUGACCCCAUCCCCAAAACUAUAUGACCCUUGAUUCACCCUGAAUAAAGUGAUCUGUCUCCCCGAAGCUGAUCCCAGAGAUAAGUCUGUUAUUUUGUUGUACUCCUGCCAUUCACAUACCCUGAAACCCUGUUGACCCUGCUCCCUUUGUCCUCAUGGGCUGGUGGCCAGCAACCUUGGGGGGAAGGGAGGACCACUCUAGCUUUAAAUGUUUUGAUUUUUUUCCCUUUGUGAAAUUUGGUAGUGUUUUAUAAAUACAUGUAGAUUAUGUGAUGCUUGUUCCCUUUAUCAACAGCCCUCAUUUAGUAUAAUAGAGCUCCAAAUAAGGGUUUAUUUUGUAAGAAUUAAUGGGAUAAAUAACAAAUUGAUUUUGAGUUUUUUCUCUGUGACACUUGAGGAACUUGGCAGUGCCUGUAUUUGGCAGCUAAGCUGCCAGACUAUUCUGGUGUGAUGUUUAAACCAGUGAAUGGAGCAUGUGAGGACACUUACUAAACAUAGCUGGUAAUGGGCACUUCUAGCAAGCAGAUUUCCGUGUUCAAGAUAGAGGGGUUUCAGAGCUCUAGUCUUCCUUUUGCCCACUGCCCCUGUCUCUAGGGCAGCAUUAGUUGUUGGAGGUUGAGUCCCCACUUACUUGAACACCUUAGCUGCUGAGGCUGAGUGCCCACUUCACUCUAUGAACUGCUGUUCAAAUUCCCUCCAUCCCCCUUUGGGCAAAGGCUUCUCGGUGUAGUCCAAGCUGGCCUCACACUCAGAGACUCACCUGCUUCUGCCUCCUGAGGGCUGGGAUGAGAGGUGUGUGCGACCACUACUGGGCAUCAAGACUGUGUGACUGUAACUGGAGGAAAGGACUAGUGAUGAACUAGUGACAGGCUGUACUUAUGGGAAAAGUGCAGAAAUACUAAAUUACUGACCAUGGUUUAAAAACGACAGAAUGGAACUGGAGAGCACUUGCCCAGUUCCCAGCUCCACGGGGCAGCUCAACCAUCUGUAACUCCAGUUUCAGGGGACCUAGCACCCUCUUCUGACCUCCUUUUGCACAAGGCAUGCAGGUGGUACACAGACAUACAUGCAGCACAACACUCACUCAUAUAUAUAAAAUAGAAAUGAAAUUUAAAAAUAAAUAAUAUGGUGGAUAAAGCCAAAAUACUGCACCUUUAGAGAUUUCUCUUGAACAGUAUUUUUUCGGUUGGGCUAUGAGAUUGCCUGAAAAACUUAUCACUUUCAGUAUUUUAAUAUCAGGAGUAAUAUUAGAGUUUUGUAACAUGAAUUAUAAUUUAGUUCUUUAGUGAGACCUUAAAAUAUCACCUUUACUAGAACUUUAAAUUCUUUUUUUUUUUUUUUUUUCCCGGAGCUGGGGACCGAACCCAGGGCCUUGCGCUUCCUAGGCAAGCGCUCUACCACUGAGCUAAAUCCCCAGCCCCCAGAACUUUAAAUUCUAAUAAAGCAUUCUGGUGGAGCUUGAAAGCUGGGUCGCUGUGCGGGUGGUUGUGUGUGCAGAAGCCAGACAACUUAGCUGUCGUGCUGUCUGUCCCUUGUCCUUAAAUGAGUGUGGUUUUUCUAUGCAGCAUCGUUUUCCACAGCAACAGAUGUUUUGAACUGUAAGUGACAGGCCAAGGAUGACGCAGUUUUCUGCUGCUUGUGGCUCGUGAGCUGGCAAGCUCCGAUUGCCCACCCGCCCGCCCGCCGAGAUUGGGUGAGAAUGGAGUGAGAGACCUUUCUUUUCCUAGGACUCCGUUAACACCAGUAGAAGCUAGGAUUUCCCUUAGGUAGAGCCGGGACAGUCAGCUUACCAGCAUGGCGUUCAUUGAGAAUUUCAGGCAAUAUGUUUGGAUCAUAUUCUUUCCUUCCCCUCCCCGAGAUGCUCUUCCUUCCCCACUCCCUACCAAUCCAACUUUAUUAUGUUCUUUCUCUAGCUAAAAAAAAAAAAAAGGCAAACAAACGAACAAGCACAAAGUACCAAAAAUCAUGGAGUCCUAUUUGUUGAAAGUUUUGUUUUUAAUGUUUGUGUGUGUUUUGCACGUACAUGGUGUCUGUGUACAUGGGCAUUGGAUCCCCUCAGACUGGAAUGAUAGAUCCUCAUGAACCACAAUGUGGGUGUUAGGAAUCAAACCCAAGUCCUCUGGAAGAACAUCCUGUGUUCUUUUUUAAAACAUACAUAAUUUAUUUUUAUUUUAUGUACAUGGGUGAUUUGACGUUGUAUCUGUCUGUGUGAGGCUGUCAGAUUCCCUAGAACAGGAGUUAUAGACAGUUGUGAACUGCUAUGUGGUUGCUGGCAACAGAACCUGGGUCCUCUGGAAGAGCAGCCAGUGCUCUUAACCACUGAACCACCUCUCCAGCCCCUAUUUAAAAGUUUUAUAUUGACUAUUGUUGGUCUCACUAAAGAUCAACGUUUAGUUACAUUCACUCUGAUUUUUUUGUUUUUGUUUUUAAAGAUUUAUUUAUUAAUUAUAUAAGUAGACUGUAGGUGUCUUCAGACACACUAGAAGAAGGCAUCAGAUCUCAUUACAGAUGGUUGUGAGCCACCAUGUGGUUGCUGGGAAUUGAACUCAGGACCUCUGGAAGGGCAGCCAUUGCUCUUAACCACUGAGCCAUCUCUCCAUACCUCCUUUUCAGGUAUUCUUCAUUAAUUGGAAGUAGAAAUACCCUUUAUUAUUAUGUAUGAGUUGUACCUAUUUCUUGCUUUGUCAAGUCUCUCAACAAAGGACCUUUUGUGUGCUUUCUUAGGGCGGGGUUCCUGCAUCCCAAGUGAAGUUUCCUGUGGAUUUUCUUCCACCUGACUCUUGGUAGUAACAGAAAAUGGCAGAACAGUCUUUGCAUACACAUCAGUGACUUCAAUCUUCACACUUGCAUGUAAUUGCUGCUGUCAAGUACAGUUACCGUCUGCCCAAGUUUCCUUCCUUGGGGACAGCUAUGCCAUGUUUUGAUAAAGAGUUAUAAAUUACGGGUUUCUGGGGCCUUUUGAAGGUUUAGAACCUGUCUUCUUUGAAAAAUUGAAGCUAUAAAAAUAAAAUCAUAUUGUCUUUUAAAUAUUUUAUAAAACUGACCUGAAUCACUUUGACAAUAAUAAGAAUAACAAAGAUUUGAAGGCUUGCUGAUUAUAUUUCCGAAUUAAUUAUGAAUAUAUUCCCUUUAUGGAUUCACGCUAUUGGUCACACAGCUCAAUACAUGUAAGAUCCCAAGAUCAUAGCGCGUUUCCCUUUCAAACAUAUAUGUAUGUGAUUCCUGCGUCACACAGGAUUAUUUCAGUCCUGUGAGUUUAAGACUACAUGUUCCACUCAGGCCUCCUCUACUCCAGAUCUGGGGAAUGAACUACAGUUCUAUCUUGGCUAACAGCAGUCGCAGUGUAAGACACAUGUCAGUAGAGGAGUCUAACUGUGAGAACACCAGAGUGUAUUACACAGACUAAGGUAGCUCUGAGUAUAAUAGGUAAUGAAGUCUUGUACUUGUUAUGUGCUUUGUCUCUGCUCGCCUGUCUUCUGUGCAAGUGGGCUUUCUUGGCUUUCUGGACGCAUGUUUUUAUUUUCUUCCCAGGGUUAUCGCCUCUAGACCCAUUAAGGCAUAAAUGGUCUGUGUCUAGUAAUAUAAGCUUUGUACUCACUUCAGGUGCUGUUAUAGUUAAAUCAGAAAUGCCCCACAGGAUCUUGUGGGUAAGGCCAAGAGUCUCUCUAUCCAGUCUUGCUGGCCUGAACCCAUUGUGCGUGCCUGUGCAUGCUUGCCCAUGGAGGCCAAAUGACAACCUCUAGUGUUCCUCAGGAGCCUUCUUUGAGACAGGGCCUCCUAUUGCUGUGGAGCUCUAUAGGUCGGUGAGGCCAGGAAGCCCUAAGGACCCUCUGUUCCCCACCUCCCCAGCACUAGGAUAAGUAAAUGCACCAUACUUGGCUUUCUGUGUGAGUUCUGAGGAUUAAACUCAAAUAUCAUGCGUGCUUGACAAAUACCUUACUGUCUGAGCUUUCUGUCCCUUUAUAGAUGCAUGAUACUCUUUUGUGUGGAUGUAACACAUUUUGUUCAUUGUUGUUGGACUGUUGGGCUAUUUCCACUAUUUUAAAUUAUUUGUUUAUAUGUGUGUGAGCAUGCAUGAGUAUUUAUGCACCACUAGCCCUUGGAGGUCAGAAGAGGGCAUUUGGGUCCAGAGUUACAGGUAGUUGUGAACUUUCAUGUGGGUGCUAGGAACCUAACCCUGGGCUCCUGCAAGAGCAGAGGCGUUCUUAGUGCUGAGCCUCUCUUCAGCCCCACAGUGGUUCUUUUGAAUCAUGUUGCUGGGAAUAUUAUGUACAACUCUCUAUUGAAUAUAUAUCUUCACAUAGGAUAUAAACCUAGGGGUGGAGUUGCUUUAUCAGAAUCUGAGCAUAAUUAUAAACACAGUAAAUCCUAAAUAUCAAACAUUUGCAAGACAAGAGAGCCCUAAAGUCUUAGUCCCAAAAGAUUAAAAUACUGAAUGUUGAAACCCCGACAACCAAAAUUAUGAAAGUUGGAGUUCCUUUUCAAAAGAGAAUGCUACCAAAGAAGGUAAAAGCUAAUCUCAGUGCUUGGGAGCCGAGGAGGAGAAUCACUGAGCUCAAGGCCAUCCUGGACUACUACAAGGCUAUUCCAGGCUAGCCUGGGCUAAAGAGUGAGGCUCUUUGUCAGACAACAAAAAAGUAGAAGCUGAGUUUCUGGGUAAGGGACUGAUGUCUGGUCAGUGCUGUGCUUGCCUUUGAGGCUGCCCCCCUUCCAGGAUAAGUGGACAAACCAGUACUCUUCUAACCACACCACUGGUGUUCGAUUGCCACGGAAGGUACAGUUUCCAUUUAACCACCCACUCUAACCUUGAAGGACCAGUACAUGACCACUUUGCCUGCUUGGUAGUAUUUUCAAAACUGUCUCAGUGUUUGUUUUGUUAUGUUUCUUAAAUCAAGUUAUAGAAUUCAUGCCCUUGUGUAAACUGAAAAUUUAGAACUCAUCCUCUCAUUUAUUUAUUAAUGAUGGGGAGAGUGAAGGACUUUAUAGUUAUUGAUUUGGAGAUUUGGUGGACCUUGCAGAAGAAAAUAGGUUUCAAUUGAAUCCCCAAACCAUAAUGAUAUAUUUGAGGUAGGGUGUGACUGAGUCUUCUUCUGAAGGUGCAUUUAAGAUUGCUACCAAUAAAAUUCCAUUUGACCCAGUAUAUUUGAUGGAAAUUUUUGAUGGAUUGGCCAAAUAAUGUGGCAAUGACUAUUUUAAAAUGCACCAUUUAUCUGCAUUGGAAUGCCAUCGAGCUCAUGAAAUUCCAGAAGUACUUAAUAAAUUAAAGUCACAUUUGUCUGAAGAACCCAUUCAGCUGCUGAUUGGUUUGAAAAUAAUUACAUGCAUAGCAGGAUAAGAAGACCCCAUCAUGUCACUAUUUGAUCAACGACACUGUUCCCGUCAACCUUGAGGAGUGCUUUUAUGAGUACCCAUAAACUGUAUUUCUGCAUAACCAGUGUAACAAAGUGUGGUCCAGAUGAGAAGACAGGAGAAUCUAAUAGGGAGUGACCUAUG